rnacentral:rRNA from 1 species
UACGGGGGGGGCAAGCGUUGUUCGGAAUUACUGGGCGUAAAGGGCGCGUAGGCGGCGAUUCAAGUCAGGCGUGAAAGGCCUGGGCUCAACCCGGGAACUGCGUUUGAUACUGGAUUGCUGGAGUCCGGGAGAGGAUGGCGGAAUUCCCAGUGUAGAGGUGAAAUUCGUAGAUAUUGGGAAGAACACCGGUGGCGAAGGCGGCCAUCUGGACCGGAACUGACGCUGAGGCGCGAAAGCGUGGGGAGCAAACAGG